GAAGCUGCGCUCAAGUGAAAGGCCUGGCUUUAAUUCUUAAACCCUGUAUGAUGGCAGCAGGUUUGUAGAUGUGGCUGAGGAUUGACCGGUCUUCUAAAAUAAUAUUCUUUUAUCUGAAUUUAAAGUUUUCAAUGGUAUGUGAUUGAAUGUGUUUUCAAUGGUAUGUGAUUCAGGCUUUAACAUCAAACACUCUCCUCUUAUCACUCAAACCAGAAUAUUUCAUAGAUUUAUUUACGUCUAUUUACUCGCGAUAAAAGCAAAAAUCUUGCACCUCAUGGCAAAAUGAAACAAUCUCACCUUACUUUGGCAAGAAUCUUGCCAAGGUGAAGAAAAAGGAUCACAGGAUUGUAUUUUACUUCAGGGAAGUACUGUGCUAUGAAACUCAUUCACAGCAAGACUGCCUGGGUGAGAACAGUACCAAAUCAAAUAAAGGAAGGAAAAAAUGUUGUUUUAUUCAACAUGACAUGUUUUAUAAGACAUUCGUGGUUUUUUUUUGUUGUUUGUUUGUUUGUUGUUUGUUUGUUUUCCUGCAUUCUGUUCCUCACUGGAUGUUGCUGAGCAUACUUUAACUUUUUUUUCCCCUGGUUGUUUACAAGCUGCCAGUGUUGCAUUUGUGUUUAAGAUGAUGAUUUGUGGUGGAAACUUGCUGACCCCUCACUGCAGGGAUACAGUAACUAUUUCAGCCACAUAUUCCUAAGGUUUUGAAACUGAAUAUUGAUGUUUAUUAACACAACGUUCAGCGGUUUGGAAAGAGAUUAACAGCAGCACUUCAGCUGAAGAAUUUGUCUGGCUCAUGUCAUUCAGAUUGCAUCUGAAAUCUCUGAUUGCUUUGUUUUGUCUCUGAACAGACAUUUGAAAUGCCAGUCGGGAGCAUUAGGGGUGUAUGCAUAGGUAUAUGGAUUCAGUGGCAGAGAGACACAUCGCAGGGUUGAUUUUUCUCUUCUACUGAGUCAAGUGAAACCUCUUUUACAGUAGAGGUAUUGCAGCAAUGCAAAGUAAGCCUGAAAGAAAGAUCAAUCACAGAGAGUUUCUGCAGGCUGCUUCCUCUUAUUCAUUCAUUUCUUCAGCGCAUGAGGAACACAGAAGCCAGAUACAGUGCCAGAAGGACAUCCAUCACGACAGCAGAAAGGGAGUGAGGAAGGACCACUACGCUGCUUCCUCUGCCAGGGCAAAUACAGGCAAAUUAAACUCCGUCUAAUUACACAGUCUGAUUUCAGGCAUCUGUUAGGAACUCUGCGAUGAUGAUACCAGUCUGCCAUUACUAUAUUAAGGAGGUGUUUCUUCCAGAAUGUCACGAGGACUUGAGAACUGCUGAAUUCAGCCAGAUGAAAAGCCCACAUAACCUAGGAUCCCAUCUGAGUAACUUGUAGAGAAGCAAUGUUUGUUUGUCUCAUGAAAAAUGCCGGUGACCAAGGACAUACAAGGUGGAAACAGAAAUUCAGCUUCAUACAGAUUGUUCCUGCCUGGCGAUAUAAAAAUUUCUCAACAAACAUCAGCUUCCUAACUGUUGCAACAGCAAGGACAUCGAGCGUUAGACUUCCUGCAGUGUAUGUAUGAGUUUAGGCUGGCACAGGAAGAAUUAAGACUGGGCCGAAGACCCAGCAUUUGCUCAAGGUCUCUGACUGAACACAGGUACAUUCACUUUCUAUUUCUGUGUCUCAGGGUCAAAGUACUCUGCAAUGUGGAAGGGCAUAAAGUGGUGCUUGGCGCAUUGGGCAGUAGUCAAGCAGACAUCUUACUAUUAUGAACAAACCAGCUCCUGCUUGUGCUAAAAGUCACUGAUGUAGCGACUAAAUGAUUUAGAGCCCUGAUCCUUCUCCUCUUAGCAGUGUCACACUGGGAAAGUUGCCCCCUGUGAAUUAAGGACUGGGCCUCAGUAUGCUUCUGUUGAAAUAAACGCUCUUCUUGUCAAUUUAGGAUUUAAGUGGAAAUUAAAGCUUCAUAAGCUUUAGAGUAGCCUUCUAUACAGAAAACUAAAUAACCCAAAAAGUACAGUGAUAUGCCUACAGUUUUCCUUCCAUGACCAUGUUGAUUUUCAGAGAAUUGUAUUUAGAUGCACAAUUGUUUUCUGGAUGACAGUAUGAGUAGGGAAGUGACAAAGAUGCUGUAAAAAACGUUUCAUUUCUUACCUUAGGAAAGAAACUCUGACAAAAUAACGCAAUUUGGGUGAUCCCAAAACUUAAAGCUAUUAAUAAAAAAAGAUAAUGAAGCUAUCACAAAAGCCAGAUGGAGAGAAUAUACGUAAGAAUUGCCUGUACAGGCAAAAUCAGAGCAGAAUGAGGGAAGGGGGCGUUGAGAGAUGCCAUGAAGGAGCUAUUUAUCAGGUACUACAACGUGAGGGAAAAAAAAGAAUAUCUUUUCAAGAGGAGAAUCAUAGAGAUUUAUUGGGGAGAUUGUAGCACUGUUCCUCUAACUGCCUUAAGCUCUGCUGUUCUGUUUCCCAGUUGUACCUCCUGCACCCAGAAGCUCUGCACCCACUGCUUCUCUUUCCACACCCCAGGGAUGCUGAGGUCCUUUCAGCCUUGGCUUGUCUCCCAGUAUCAUCACCUACAUUUGACUGCGAGCAAAGCUGUCAUAGUGGUAAACAUUGCCUUCAGGGUAUUCUGCCUCUCCUUUUUGUCUGUGGAAACAAGGUGCAAGAAGGGUUUAUUCACGGUAUUUUUGGGGUACUGCUGCUGUGGCUGCAGGAUGAAGUCUAGCAUUCUUCCCCUGCACCACCAAGCAAUGCAAAUUCCAGCAUCAAUGUGAAAAGCAGGAUCAGGAAGGACUAAACCAGUGUCUUCCAGAACCUGCAGGAGUGAGAAAAGUUAGAGGGCUCCCACCUGUGAAGCUUUUACGUGGGGAGUGGGGGCUGGUGUGAAACUUACCUAUGUGAGGCAGAUGGAAGGGGAGCAUGCUGCACUCUGCAAGUCCCGUGGUUGAGGAUGUAAAGUUUUGUGAGAUGGCUGUACCUCAGGGAGUUUGAAAAUGUGCACAGGAGAUGUGUGGUGCUGGGCCAGCCUCCACCUGAUCCAAAAUAAUGUUUGAGAUUAUACAAGAGAUGUGGGGAAGCUCUGCACCAGCUGUUUACAGCUAUCACUCUACUGUUGCUCCAAGCGGAUUGCUAAACACAGCCUACGCUGUUUUAUUCACUGCUCACGGAAAGAACAAAAACUAUAAUAGUUUGCAAUGCUCCAUAAUUUUCCAGGAAAUAUAUUCCAUAGCGCUCUGAAGGCACAAAUACUGUAUUUAAAUGAGAUUCACAGCAGUGUAUUUUAUUGGCUUUGAGAGAUAGAUUCAGAAAAAGAGGAUUACCAAACUGAGACUAAUAGCUGCAUUCAACAUACUUGCAUUUACACUAGUUUACAUUUUAAAUAAGAACUCCAUCUGUAGGGGGAAAAUACAGUGCCUAAACAGGCCUUGUUUUAUUAAAUAGUGCCACCUAGGGGUUAAGCGCUUUUUAAUGUUAGAGGGGCAAGGGAUGGGAAGCCCUAUUAAUAGAAGAUGUAUUAUAUAAAACGAUCUGUAUUUUGGAAUUUACUAGGAAAACAAAAUGCUGCCCAGAUUUCUAUAUGGUUUUUUUUUCUGGGCAAAGAACUGUACCUUUUACAGUUCCCUUUGGAGCUGGCUAUGCUCUUCCUUUUCUUCCUAGGUGGUGGGGCAUGUUGUAAAUCCUGAUUUUCUCCUCUAUGAGACAGGUCUUGCUUGUACAUGAGCAGCAGAGAGGUUAUCUGCUGCUGCAAGGCUGGGUAGGAGAUGGCUGUCUUGCUGGUUUUGAGUGUGCAAGAACUUUGAGUAUGCAAGUCUUGAAAAAUUGCUUGCUUAGUGAGGCCAAAAUCAGAGAGGAAACCCUGGCCUAAUUAGUCUUGUGUACUAAAGGAGGGUACUGCAUGGGAGAGGAGUGAGAUGUUGGCACUACACUCUGGCCCUAAGCAGACACGAUUUAUUCCUCUGAAACUGCCUUUCCACUUAGACAAUACAAAUUACAGCUGGGUCCUUUUUGCUUGUUUUGGCAUAACCUAGAAAUAAGCAGAAGAAACCUAGAAGAAUCUGCCCAUCUCUGUUCCAUGCUUGUUUUGUUGUUUUUUUUUUUUCAAACUGAGCUUUCAGCUAAAAGCCUGAAUUGGGACUAU